rnacentral:ncRNA from 1 species
GAAAGCCGUAUGAGGGAGAACCUCACGUACGGUUUGAUAAGGGGAACUGAAAGGAGUAAGGCGACCAAACGGUCGCCAGAAAACGUCAGUUCUCUACUCUAC